GUAACCAACGGCAAGAGCAUGGAGAGAUAAGUGAUUUAGCCGGUUCCAGUUAAAUGGAGCAUGCAAGAUGUUAGGUGAGGGAAUGCUGUCCGCCGGCCGCAGACUGCAGCCCCUGCGUCCAACCUGGCACUGCAGCUCACUGAUACGUGAAUAUGGUGGAUUAUACGUCUGGUGUGCAGAAGCAGGCCGCAACACGCCGGGACAACGAUCUCCAUGGCAUCUCCAGGACCGAAAAUCAAGCCGUAAAGAUAAGCGGCCGCAUUGUUAAAGCGGCGCUGUGUGUGCGUGUUUCUCCCCACCGUGUCUCCCUGCACACAAACGGGCUGUUGGUUGCAUCAGGGAGAGAGGCAGCCCAGAAAUUGAUACCAUCUGGAUGUUAAUCUCCUGCAGAUAAGUCCAUCGCAGUUUAGACUUGUUGUCAACAAAUGCAAUCGCAGCAAAAAAAAAAAAAAAAA